rnacentral:rRNA from 1 species
UACGUAGGGUGCGAGCGUUGUCCGGAAUUAUUGGGCGUAAAGAGCUCGUAGGCGGUGUGUCACGUCGGCCGUGAAAACCUGCAGCUUAACUGUGGGCGUGCGGUCGAUACGGGCAUCACUGGAGUUCGGCAGGGGAGACUGGAAUUCCUGGUGUAGCGGUGAAAUGCGCAGAUAUCUGGAGGAACACCGGUGGCGAAGGCGGCAUCCUGGACCAAUUCUGACGCUGAGUGAGCGAAAGCCAGGGGAGCAAACGGG